rnacentral:rRNA from 1 species
AGAGUUUGAUCCUGGCUCAGAGUGAACGCUGGCGGCAGGCCUAAUACAUGCAAGUCGAACGGCAGCACAGCAGAGCUUGCUCUGUGGGUGGCGAGUGGCGGACGGGUGAGGAAUACAUGGGAAUCUGCCCAGUCGUGGGGGAUAACGUAGGGAAACUUACGCUAAUACCGCAUGCGCCCUUCGGGGGAAAGCCGGGGACCUUCGGGCCUGGCGCGAUUGGAUGAGCCCAUGUCGGAUUAGCUAGUUGGCGGGGUAACGGCCCACCAAGGCGACGAUCCGUAGCUGGUCUGAGAGGAUGAUCAGCCACACUGGAACUGAGACACGGUCCAGACUCCUACGGGAGGCAGCAGUAGGGAAUAUUGGACAAUGGGCGCAAGCCUGAUCCAGCCAUGCCGCGUGAGUGAAGAAGGCCUUCGGGUUGUAAAGCUCUUUUGUCCGGAAAGAAAAGCUUCGGGUUAAUACCCUGGAGUCCUGACGGUACCGGAAGAAUAAGCACCGGCUAACUUCGUGCCAGCAGCCGCGGUAAUACGAAGGGUGCAAGCGUUACUCGGAAUUACUGGGCGUAAAGCGUGCGUAGGUGGUUUGUUAAGUCUGAUGUGAAAGCCCUGGGCUCAACCUGGGAAUGGCAUUGGAUACUGGCAGGCUAGAGUGCGGUAGAGGGUAGUGGAAUUCCCGGUGUAGCAGUGAAAUGCGUAGAGAUCGGGAGGAACAUCUGUGGGCGAAGGCGACUACCUGGACCAGCACUGACACUGAGGCACGAAAGCGUGGGGGAGCAAACAGGAUUAGAUACCCUGGUAGUC